rnacentral:rRNA from 1 species
UAGCUUAGUGGCGGACGGGUGAGUAACGCGUGAGCAACCUGCCUUUCAGAGGGGGAUAACGUUUGGAAACGAACGCUAAUACCGCAUAGACCACACUUCCACAUGGGAGAGGGGUCAAAGGAGCAAUCCGCUGAAAGAUGGGCUCGCGUCCGAUUAGAUAGUUGGGGGGGUAACGGCCCACCAAGUCGACGAUCGGUAGCCGGACUGAGAGGUUGAACGGCCACAUUGGGACUGAGACACGGCCCAGACUCCUACGGAAGGCAGCAG